GGGGAAGGAUCGCAGGCGAGAUUACGAGGCGAGGCUCGCGCGCCCGCCCCCGCCCUGGCCCCCAGUGCCCACCCGGUCGGCCCGGCACAGCCAUGAUCAAGGCGAUCCUAAUCUUCAACAACCACGGGAAGCCGCGGCUCUCCAAGUUCUACCAGCCCUACAGUGAAGAUACACAACAGCAAAUCAUCAGGGAGACUUUCCAUUUGGUAUCUAAGAGAGAUGAAAAUGUUUGUAAUUUCCUAGAAGGAGGAUUGUAUUUGUGGAAACAUUAGACAAAUGUUUUGAAAAUGUCUGUGAGCUGGAUUUGAUUUUCCAUGUAGACAAGUGUAAAGGAAGGAGCAUCCAGACCUUCUUAACAGCUUGCCCAGAUAUGGGGCAGAAGAGGAAUGGGGACUAGUAGAACUUGAAGGCUGUGAGCAGACACACAUCAAAAAUGGAGUCAGACCCUUUAUCACAUACAGCUAAGGUUCACAAUAUUCUUGCAGAAAUGGUGAUGGGGGGAAUGGUAUUGGAGACAAAUAUGAAUGAGAUUGUUACACAAAUUGAUGCACAAAAUAAGCUGGAAAAAUCUGAGGUAAGAAUGGAAAAUGCUGUAGUUAAGAAGGUUCUAAGCAUGAUGACAGAUUACGCAUGAUUUGUAGUUUUCACUGUUUGUCCUUCAGUAUCACCCUUUAGGUUCAGCCGUUAUGCUUAUUCAGUUUUUAAAAAAUGGAAUAUACACGUAGUAUGCUAAAGGUUCUGUGACUGUUCUCUACCCAACAGCUUUGUGUAUUCUUCUUUUAGCCACAGUCAUAGCUGCCUUGGGUAAUAAGCACAAUUCCAAAUCUUAUUGCCUAAAAGAAUUAUCUGAAUAAUGGAAUCUAAUAUUUGCUUUGUAAAACUUCAGUCGGUAAUUAUCAAGGAAAUCUUAGAACUAAUAUUUUAAAGAUAUAUAAAUUUUGUGUUACAAAACUACUUCUGGAAAGGGAAAGGACAGGAAAUGGAAUUCUUACAGGGAAGUAAGUAAUGUUUCAAGUUAUUAAUAAAUGCAAAAUAAAUAUUUUGAAUGUUUGAGUUCACAUUCAAAAAAGAAAUUCAAUACCUUAAUCUUUUAAUUCUAAAUCUUUCCCUAAGAUUUCACUGACAAGUUAGUUAAGUCACAUAUUUUAGACAUUAGUACAUAUAUAUCCAUGGUCUUUAUUGCAUUCUAUAAGAUCGGUUUGUUAUACUUAGCUAACUUUCUGCUGUUAGAUUCAACCUUAGAUGGGAUAAAUGAGGAACAGCCAGCACUUUAGCAUUGUAUAAAACCCUACUUCAGAAUUGUAGUGACUCUUCCCUCAAGCACUAGUCUGAAUAUCAGUAGCAGGUGCUGUAGCUGAGCCACCUGGGUUCACAUUAUUUUGGUUGUUUAUUACCCUAGCAGAGGUUUAGAAAGAUCAGUAGUUUUAUCAUUUGAGUUCAGGAGUUCGAGACUAGCCUGGCCAACAUGGUGAAACCCCAUCUCUACUAAAAAAAUAAAAAUAAAAAAUAAAUAAAUUAGCUGGGCACGUAGAGCGCACCUGUAAUCCCAGCUACUCGGGAGGCUGAGGCACAAGAAUCACUUGAACCCCGGAGGUGGAGGUUGCAGUGAGCCGAGAUCACAUCACUGCACUCCUGGGCAACAGAGUAAAACUUCAUCUCAAAAAAAAAAA
rnacentral:lncRNA from 1 species